rnacentral:tRNA from 1 species
AUUUAUAUAGUUUAAAUUAAAACCAUUCAUUUUCAAUGAAUAAAUGAACUUUAAGUUCUAUAAAUA